rnacentral:rRNA from 1 species
GACGAACGCUGGCGGCGUGCCUAAUACAUGCAAGUUGAGCGAUGAAGAUUGGUGCUUGCACCAAUUUGCAGAGCAGCGAACGGGUGAGUAACGCGUGGGGAAUCUGCCUUUGAGCGGGGGACAACAUUUGGAAACGAAUGCUAAUACCGCAUAACAACUUUAAACAUAAGUUUUAAGUUUGAAAGAUGCAAUUGCAUCACUCAAAGAUGAUCCCGCGUUGUAUUAGCUAGUUGGUGAGGUAAAGGCUCACCAAGGCGAUGAUACAUAGCCGAUCUGAGAGGGUGAUCGGCCACAUUGGGACUGAGACACGGCCCAAACUCCUACGGGAGGCAGCAGUAGGGAAUCUUCGGCAAUGGACGAAAGUCUGACCGAGCAACGCCGCGUGAGUGAAGAAGGUUGUCGGAUCGUAAAACUCUGUUGGUAGAGAAGAACGUUGGUGAGAGUGGAAAGCUCAUCAAGUGACGGUAACUACCCAGAAAGGGACGGCUAACUACGUG